rnacentral:misc_RNA from 1 species
CCAUUUAUAUACGAAAGUAUAUCCUGUGUAUUUGUUGUCUCCUUGCAAGGUCAACCAGACACUGCAACCAGAUGGAUUUCUGAGCCCCGACGUUUGUUUCCUACCAGGACUGUGUAAAAGAGAGAACUUUUUUUUUUUUGCUCUUUUUUCCAAUCAAUCUAUCCAGCUUAGCUAAUUCGACAGACCAGCAAGCGAAAUGAAGUGAGAAGAAAGGUAAAUGAUGGAAUAAAAUGGAGGGGAAAAUGCUUGACACCAAGUAACUAAUGAGAAACGCUACCCAGUG